ensembl:lncRNA
UUUGUUUUUUGCAGCCACACCUGUGGCCCAUGGAAGUUCCUGGGCCAAGGGUCAAAUUGGAGCUGCAACCUGCAACUGUGACCUACCUGACAACCAGGGCAACACUGGAUCCAAGCCACAUCUGCAACCUCUGCCGCAGCUUGUGGCAAUGCCGGAUACUUAACCUACCAAGUGAGGCCAAGGAUGGAGCCUGGGUCCUAAACCUGCUGAGCCACAAUAUGAACUCCAUGUAUGUUCUUUUUAAAACUCUUCUGUUAAAGAAAGCUUUUCUCCAAUAAAAAUGACAACAAAAUGUGGUAUACAUACACAAUGAAAUAUUAUUCAGCCAUAAAAAGGAAGGAAAUUCUGACACAUGCCACAACAUGGAUAAACCUUAAAGACAUUGUGCUAAGUGAAAUAAGGCAGUUACAAAAGGACAGGUAUUGUAUGAUUCUGCUUUAUGUGAAGUACCCAAAGUAGUUAAAAAUUCACAGAGACAGAAAAUAGAAUAGUGAUUGCCAUGGCCUAAGGGGAGGGGGGGAAUGGGGACAGAGACGAAUGGGGACAGAAUUUCAGUUUGAGAAGAAGAACUUCUGGAGAUGGAGAGAAGUGGUGGUUACACGACAGUGUGGAUGUGUUUAAUGGCACUGAACUGUACACUUAAGAAUGGUUGAAAUGGUACAUUUUGUGUUCUGGAUAUUUCCUCACAAUAAAGAAAAAUGUUAACAACUGCCAAUGCCGCUUUUAAGAUGAAACAGAAUUGUAGGAUUUGGGAGCUGCAGGGAUUGGAGCCAGGAGCUGUUUAGUCCAGAGUUUCUGAAAUGUUGGGGUUGGGCUGGCUGCAAGCAAUCAGCCAGGGGUCCCCCAGCCAUUCCAGUCCCAGAUAUUUAUCCAGGAGAAAUGAAAACAUAAUUCCACACAAGACUUGUAUACAAACGUCCACGGCAGCUUUCUCCAGAAGAGCCCCAAACUGGAAACAAUCCAAACAUCCACCAAUAGAAGAACGGGUAAACCAGUUGUGUUACAUCCUUAGAACUCCCUGCUCUCCAGUUACCAAAUGAAUGAACUAUUGAAACACACAGCAACUUGGAUGAGUCUCAAAAACAUUUUGCCAACAGAAAGCAGACAGAUGAAGGUAUACCUGCCAUAGGAUCCACUUGUAUGAGGUUUAGAUUAGGCAAAACUAAUCUACACAGAUAGAGCUCAGAACAGGGGUUGCAUCAGGAGGAGGGAGGGCCGGGUGGGGAAGGGGCCUAAAGGAAUUUUCUAGGGUAAUGGAAACAUUUGGUAUCUCGAUAAGUUCAUUUGAUUAUGUAGCCAAAUGAACUAGGUCGAUGUAAUUUAUUUGAGCAUUUGUCAAAAUUCAUUCAACUGAGACCUAUGCAUUUCGCUCUACAUGAGGUAUAUCACAACUUUAAAUACAUAAUUAUCAAAAAUAGUCUCUCUUCACAGAGGGGAGCGGGUUCAUGGGAUCCCCAUCAGUAAUUCCCAAGACCUGGAUGUGGCCUUCUCUCCAUAUGAAGUAAUAGCCAAGCCGAUUCACUGCCCUUCCUGGAGGGAGCAGCUUCCCUUGACAGGUGGGUGUCUGUCGUCACCAAGACCUGGGAAUGGGCCCCCGGGGUGUCCUGGAAGCUGUCAUGGACUCUUGGACUCUACCCCUAAACCCCCAAGCCAAAGAGACAGGCUGUUAGUCUCAUGAGUGAGCAAUCCAUAGGCCAGCCAACUUCUACAGCUUGGAAGCUUCACUUAGGUUGACCGUGGAGAUACUUCUGCCUCCAGUGGGAGUCUUGGGCGUCACUAUUUAAGUUCUAAGGGCCAUUUUCAGUUGAAUAAUGGCCCAGUCUCCAAAACAUAAGACAUGUGAUUAUAUUCAGAAGUCCUUGACCCCAAGAGAGAGCAGUGUGGGGGAAGGGAAAGGGUCUAGGCUUUGGGGUCAGACAGACCUGGGCUUAGGUUCCAGGCUGGUCUCUCAGCAGCCCCACGACUUUGGUGAUGUGAGUUUCUCUGAUUCUCAAUCUUCUCCACAAAAUUUACAAACAGGUAAGAUCUGACUUGCAAAGCAGGGCAUGCAAAGCUCUUGUCACAGUGCCAGGCACACAACAGGCAUUAGAUAAACGCUGCACUAUGACGGUGGUGCUGCUGUUGCUAACACCCCAACGAUAUGCAUCCUUACAGUUUACUCAGCCCUUCUGCUAUUACUUGUGUAUGAGUUUACUUAUUUUGUUACGGAGAUAUAAUUCUCACACCAUAAAAUUCACCAUUUUACAAUAUGUAAUUCAGUGGCUUUUAGUAUAUUCACCACAUUGUGCAACCAUCACCACUAUAUAAUUCCAGGACCCUUCCAUCAGCCUCCAAGGAAAUGCUAUACCUAUGAGCUGUCACUCCCAUUCUCUCCUUCUUCCAGCCCCUGACAACCACUAAUCUGCUUUCUGUCUCUAUGGAUUUGCCUCCUCUGGGUACUUCCUACGAAUGGGCUCACCAUUCGUGGCCUUUUGUGCCUGACUUUUUUCACUCAGCAUAAUGUUUUCCAGGUUCGUCUACGUCAUAGCACACAUCCCAACUCCACCCCUUUUUACUGGCAAAUAAUCGUCUAUUGUACAUCUCUACCGCUUUUAUCCAUUCCUCCGUGAUGGACUCUUGCACUGUCUCCACUUUUUGGCUCCCACUGAUUAUUUCAUUUGAUCCUCAACAGAGGAUCCCUAGAGAAGAACAGAGCAGGUACAAUCUUGUCCACCAGAGAUGGGAACUGAGGCUAAAGGGAGGGAAAGGGACCUCCCUAAGGUCACUUAGCUGGUUAAACACCUGCUAGGGAUCCGGGUCAAUCCUCCUGACCUCCUUAAGCUCACUCAAUGUCUCAAGGCAAAACAAGAAGGACAGUGUCCGUGUGUGUGUUUGCAGAGGGACCCCAACAGCACAUUACAGAGCAUCUCACUGGCCUCAAGGGCAGAGGAAUGAACAUCACUAAGGACCACCUUGCUCUGUGACCCCAGCAGGGGAGACAACAGCUGAUUCCAAGCAGAUCCGUGCCAGCAUGGAAGGAGGGAAAGCAGCCCAUUCUCACUAACCAGAAAACCCAGGAACAAUGCACUCUCAUGCUUGGGCUUGGCCUGGGGAUUCUCAGUUGCAUGUGCUGGUUGCACCCUCCCUCCUCCAUCCUGACCGGGCACCUCAGUGGCUCCAUCAUCUCCAUCUCCAUGAAUGUCUCUUGUACUUAGAGAGCAAAGGUAGAGAGCAAAGCAAGCAGGAAAGGCAACAGCAAUCAGAGCAAAAGAAGCUGGAAAUGAUCCAUGUGGCAAGAGGGGAGUCUCUCUCCUACUCAAGACAGGGCCAGACUGUUCCCGGAGAGCCGCCAUUCUCGAGUGCAGUGAGCUAAGAGUGAUGAAGCAGGGCUUCUAUUCAAUGUUUGUCCACCAAAAUAUUUACUCUGCACCUACUAUGUGUCAGACCUGGGAGCAUCAGAAGAUGAUUUAGAAGAAGACAUACGGCUCCAGCUCUGACCUUCACAUUCUGAUGAGGGAGGGAGAUCAGAAGUAUGCAAACAAAGGAGAAAGAAGGAAAUAAUAAAGGAAGGAAAGGAGAGUGGGGGGAGAGGUCAG